rnacentral:rRNA from 1 species
GACGUAGGGCGCGAGCGUUGUCCGGAUUUAUUGGGCGUAAAGAGCUCGUAGGCGGCUUGUCGCGUCGAAUGUGAAAUCUCAGGGCUCAACUCUGACAUUGCAUUCGAUACGGGCAGGCUCGAGUUCGGUAGGGGAGACUGGAAUUCCUGGUGUAGCGGUGAAAUGCGCAGAUAUCAGGAGGAACACCGGUGGCGAAGGCGGAUCUCUGGGCCAUUACUGACGCUGAGGAGCGAAAGCGUGGGGAGCGAACAGG